CUAGCUUGAACUCUGAGGGUUUAAGAUAUGAGAGGGAGUCCCCCUCAAGGUUUUCCUAAUCUCAGAGGAAUGAAACUGUCGGCUGGGUAAUGAUCUACAGUUUUUAACUUCCCUUUGACAAAAUACAUAACAAUUAUUUUAAGAAUUAUAGAUACAGAACUCCUUUAUGCAAUCGCGGUGUCAGAUUUUAAAAUAGCUUUUCGUCGAAAGCACAUUUUGCAAUAUUCUGAGUACAUAGCCCGGCCAUCACGGCUAGCUAAUUUGACACCCAUGAAGUUUGGCCCUCACCAAACUCAGAUUUACUAUAAGAAAAAUUGGAUUACCUUUGCUGUUCUUCAUCAGAAUGCACUCCCAGGACUUCUACUUCAACAACAAAUGUUGUUUUGGUUCCAAAUAAUCCAUAGUUAUAUCCAAAUAGCUCCAUUUUGUUCGUGUGUUCAAGUCACUAUCCGAAGGGUGACGCGCGAACGCAUUUCGUGACAAAGAAUUUCAAAAUAUUCCAUUACUGUACUUCGAAGCAUGUCAAACGCUGUUUAAAAUUCAUUUUUAUGCUAUUUUUCUCGUAAAAUAGCGAUAAUAUUCCAACCGGGCGACGUUGUAUUCAUUCAAAGGCUGAAAGAAAAAAAAUGGAGAAUUCUCAUGAAUGCGCAUCUCCAGUGUCACUGUUCCCAGCCUGACCACUCACAAAAUCUCCUGCUGUUCUUCUCCCAGAGACAGGAGACACAUCAUUCCACUUUCUGGCGCCUUCUGAGAGCCAAUGGAAGCCUUAGAAAAUGUCACGUUACAGCAGAGAUGCUGUAUUUUCGAUAGAGAUGCAACAGAAGGAUAACAAAUUGUCAGACAGGGCACUUCCUGUAUGGAAUCUUCUUAGGUUUUGGCCUGCCAUAUGAGUUCUGUUAUACUCACAGACACCAUUCAAACAGUUUUAGAAACUUUAGAGUGUUUUCCAUCCAAAUCUACUAAUUAUAUGCAUAUUCUCGUUUCUGGGCAAGAGUAGUAACCAGUUUAAAUCGGGUACGUUUUUUAUCCGGCCGUGCAAAUACUGCCCCCUAGCCCCAACAGGUUAAGGGAUCUGGGCCUUAAUGUUAGUGUGUAUGUGUGUGUGUGUAAAUACGGCGCCUGGUAUAUAAUGAUGUUUCUGUACAAUGAACGGCAGAGCGCUCUCCUGAAUAAACACGUCUGAUUCUUGUAAGCCGGGCCUCCGUCUGUGUUAUUCAACCAGAAUCUUACACAUUCUAGGUGGCAGACUGAGUAUUUUAAUUGAAGUUAACAUUGAGAACAUAAUUCUAAUAUCACUUUCCCUUCUCCUUUCAUUUCCUUUCCUCUUGAUUCAUAUUAUUCCACACCAUAUUGGACAUGUGCUGUCUAUACAUUGACUUUAGAUACACAGGAGAUACACAUUGGGAGAAAUUCUAAAUAAUUUUCUGCUGUGCUAUAAUCCUAGUUUGACAGGUAAUCCUGAGAUUUAUUCCUUUGGUGGAUAAUAUAGGUCCGGACACAUUGCUCUAAUGAGUAUCUAUCCACAAUCAAUGUAUGUGGGCUGUAUAGGGAAUAGUGUGUCAUUUGGGAUGCAGACUCCUCUGUUUCAGUAGUACUGGAUUGUCUAACAAUUAGACAGGAUGGUGUAACAAGGACUGGAUGAGAAGAUGUCAGCCCAGCUCUAGUCCUUAGUUCCCAUAUAUACAGGAGUUGAUAUUUCUCACAUUUUGUACACAAUGUGACGUAGAAGUCCGUCACUGGCCGCGGGCAGAAUUUGGAACUUUAACGCACACAGACAUUCAUCACUCAUCCCUGCUCCGUUAUCAGAUAAAUGUGGGUCGACACAAGUUAACUUCUCUAUCUUAGUACAUGCAUUUCACACUUACGUCAGUAACCGGUUAUGGUAAAAAGAAAUAAACAGACAAGUGUUCAUAUUUAAUAUAAGCAAUAUUUAUUAUACUUAGAUGUUAUGGAUGAGCGCGUUGUUUGUUUGUUCUGUUCCUCUCUCUCUCCAUCUCUGUAGUUUACGGGUAUGCUGGAUAAGGACCCGAGCUAAGGGAAUUGGGUUGACUUUGUAGUGCCUGUCCCGAGUGGCUCAUUAAUGUAAAUGGACAUAUUGAAAGACACUGUCAGUAAUGAUGUAAUUUUGUAAAUGUUAUAUUGUGAUAUUGUUUAAUAAAAAACGUGUUGCAAUGUAUAUACUUUAGUAUGUUUAGUUAAAUGGAAAAUGUAGGUUUGAAUAGGUAAUUGCUUAAUUAAUUAGUGUUAAUUGUUCUGAGGGGAGGGGCUACCCCUACAAAAGGAGCCUCUCUUUCAGUUCAUGGAGAGGCAUUUUGGAUUGAGCUG
rnacentral:lncRNA from 1 species